GACGAACGCUGGCGGCGUGCCUAAUACAUGCAAGUUGAGCGCUGAAGGUUGGUACUUGUACCGACUGGAUGAGCAGCGAACGGGUGAGUAACGCGUGGGGAAUCUGCCUUUGAGCGGGGGACAACAUUUGGAAACGAAUGCUAAUACCGCAUAAAAACUUUAAACACAAGUUUUAAGUUUGAAAGAUGCAAUUGCAUCACUCAAAGAUGAUCCCGCGUUGUAUUAGCUAGUUGGUGAGGUAAAGGCUCACAAGGCGAUGAUACAUAGCCGACCUGAGAGGGUGAUCGGCCACAUUGGGACUGAGACACGGCCCAAACUCCUACGGGAGGCAGCAGUAGGGAAUCUUCGGCAAUGGACGAAAGUCUGACCGAGCAACGCCGCGUGAGUGAAGAAGGUUUUCGGAUCGUAAAACUCUGUUGGUAGAGAAGAACGUUGGUGAGAGUGGAAAGCUCAUCAAGUGACGGUAACUACCCAGAAAGGGACGGCUAACUACGUG
rnacentral:rRNA from 1 species